GAUGAACGCUAGCGGCAGGCUUAAUACAUGCAAGUCGAGGGGUAGCAAGAUUGUAGCAAUACAAUUGUUGACGACCGGCAAACGGGUGCGGAACACGUACACAACCUUCCUACAAGUGGGGAAUAGCCCAGAGAAAUUUGGAUUAAUACCCCGUAACAUAGCGAUGUGGCAUCACAUUGCUAUUAUAGCUUCGGCGCUUGUUGAUGGGUGUGCGGCUGAUUAGAUAGUUGGCGAGGUAACGGCCCACCAAGUCUACGAUCAGUAGCUGAUGUGAGAGCAAGAUCAGCCACACGGGCACUGAGACACGGGCCCGACUCCUACGGGAGGCAGCAGUAAGGAAUAUUGGACAAUGGACGCAAGUCUGAUCCAGCCAUGCCGCGUGAAGGAUUAAGGUCCUCUGGAUUGUAAACUUCUUUUAUAAGGGACGAAAAAAGGUCUUUCUAGAUCGUCUGACGGUACCUUAUGAAUAAGCACCGGCUAACUCCGUGCCAGCCGCCGCCGUAAUAC
rnacentral:rRNA from 1 species